rnacentral:rRNA from 1 species
GUAUCAGUAAGCGGAGGAAAAGAAACUAACGAGGAUAGCCCCAGUAAUGGCGAAUGAACAGGCUAAAGCUCAAAGUGAAAAUCUAAGGUGGUCACCACCAAGGAAUUGUAAUCUAGAGGGUCAAUCCGAAGGUAAGUUGCUCGCAUAAAUUCUUUGGAACAAGACAUCAAAGAGGGUGACAAUCCCGUAGUCGGCGAGGGAACUGCUGUAGGAGAGAUUUCAAAGAGUCGGGUUGUUUGGGAUUGCAGCCCUAAGUGGGAGAUAAACUCUUCUAAAGCUAAAUACACACGGGAGACCGAUAGCGCACAAGUA